UUUACUAUUCAUGUCCAUUUUAUCCUAUAUUUUUUUAAUUAACUUCUUAUUUUAAUUUUUAAAGAUUAUAUUCUCAUUUCUAAAGGUUGUCCUCACAAGAGGAAAAGAUGCUUAAGAUAGAAAAUCUUGUAAUUGAGGACAUGUGCUUCUCCAGCAGAAAGCCUCACCAACUACAGACCUCUGUAAUGAGCAGAAAACCUUGCAUUAAUGGCUAUGUGCUCUUUCACACCCUUUUUUUUUGUGUGUACUUACUUGUUGUGUGCUCCUUCUUUUGUGUAUAUCUGUUUUUACUUUGUUGCUUCUGCUUGUGCCACAGAUUAUGCUAGUGCAGUGGACUCUUACUGCACAAAUCAGCUGAUGAUAGGCCUAUUCUUAUCCCUGUAUCUAUAGAGGAAGAGGUGAUUUCUAUUUUAUGAAAAUGAAAUCUGUUUAGUUUUAUAUUAUAAUUAUAGGUGUAUUCUCUUUGA
rnacentral:lncRNA from 1 species